GGCGAGGUGGCCGAGUGGUUAUGGCGCUAGUUUCAGGACAUCUGGAAUCCAGAGUUCCGAAAAGGAUCUACUAGUGGAGCAAUCCUCGUGGGUUCGAGUCCCACCCUCGUCA
rnacentral:tRNA from 2 species